CCUGCGUGAAGCACCUCAUAAAAUCUGCAUGGUGGUACCUACAGCUGACCUCCACACACACACACACACACACACACACACACACACACACACCAAACACUAUAAACAAAUGUGCUAAGGGAAAGUUCCUUUCAGAGCAGUGGUUCUCAACCUUCUUAGCACGGUGACCUUUACUACAGUUCCUCAUGUUGUGAUGACCCCCUCCCAACCAUGAAAUUAUUUUCUUGUUGAUUCAUAAGUGUAAUUUUUCUACUAUUAUGAAUUGUGAUGUAAAUAUGUGCUUUCCAAUGGUCUUAGGUGAGCCCUGUGAAGGGUUGUGCAAAAAAAAAAAAAAAAAAAAAUCCCAAAGAGGUUGAGAACAGUAGCUUUAGAGCCAAGCAGGUUUUCUCAUAUUCUUCCAGGGAGCCACUCCAGUUUGAGAGAGGACAGGCAGGAACUCCAAAUUACUCAAAUCCGGAGCCAAUCAGCCUUCUAAGUUUUGAGGGUGUCACAUUGGCAAAGAAUCUGUAAACCUGACCAGAAAGGCCUCACUUGACCCUUCUCUCCUGUUAUCACUUACCCUGCAUGUCUCUAACAGCUGAGAAGGACAUCUGGGACAACUGAAAUGUCUAUGAGGAAGGCAUGCCACUCCCACACAGCGGCCGUGGAUACCAGGAUAUCCCAGACCAGGUAAUUUACAAUGAAGUUUCUUACCCACGGACCUGGAGACUGGAGAAAUCCAAGAUCAAGAGCCUUCAGCUAUCAGGGACUUCAUGGCAGAAGGCAGAAGGCAGAAGGCAGAAGGCAGAAGGCAUGCUUGAGUGCAAGAGAAAACUAAAGUCACUCAAACAGAAAGCCCACUCUCAAGAUAACGCACCUACUGUCACAGACACAGCAUUUGUCCAUUCCCAAGGGAACACUUGACCUCCCUCAAAAGCCUCACCUCGGUGUUGCUAUUUAGGGGAGAACUUUCUAACAGACGGACUUUGGGGGACACAGUCAGAUCAUGCCGUAUCCCUACCCCCAACCCUCCUCUGGCCUUCUUUCCUCUGGAGAGUUAUGUUAGAAACAAGUUGCCUUGUUUAAGCUACUGAGAAGUUGAACCUUUGUUAAAACAGCCAAGACUUUCUCUAGCUGGCACACGUGCACUCUGGGAACAGGCUAGGCUUAGCAGUUCCCAUAUGUUGAUAUGUGCUUAUGCAGUGCUCAGUAUAAGCAACGGAGCGUGUGCCCCACCCCCGCAGCCCCAGGAGAGAAACAGCUUUAUUACUUCUGUUUUGCAGAUGAGGAGGAAACAGAGGCAAAAAUAGAUUAAGUAACUUGAUAAAACUAUCAAGUGAUGGAGACAAGACUAACAUUCACAGUUUCUGGAUUCCAUCAGCCACAACUGACAUGGGAGACGACUUGUGAAAAGCUCAGGCCUGGCUGCGACAAGAUGCUCACCAAGUCGUUAGUAUUGUCAUUCACCUCGCCACCUGCUGCCUGCGUCCCCACACUUCCAGUUCCAAGAUGCUGAAAGCACACCGUGUGGGACAGUUCAAAACGGAGGUGGAUUCCGGCAGGGGCGUAGCUGUACAGCACUGAAACCCUGUGGUUUUUCCAUUUCAAAGAGUGUUCUACCCUGCCCUGGCCUGCCCUGCCCUGGCCUGCCCUAGCCCUGCCCCCAUCCCUGCACCUGCUUCUUGACCACUGUUCCCACACCUGCUCUUGCUGCCAGCCCCACCCCCGCCCAUCCCCUCGGGCAGGGCGAAUCAGCAGAAGGCACUGGCCUCAGCUGGGUAACGUAUACUUCUUUGGUGCUUGGUUUUCAUCUCUGGCCACGGAGUUAUGUUUCCUGUAACCCUACUUCUUGGCUCUCUUGCCCACUAGAUAUAUAAUAGGGGCUGUGCACCUUGACCCUGGGGUGGGUUUGGCUGCCAUCGCUGCAGAGCAGAUUUGUCUGCUGCAAGGGGUUGGAGAUCCUGUUUAAGUGUGUGUGUGUGUGUGUGUGUUUAAUCUAUAUCAAAGAGAUAAAAACACCUUGAAGAGGUUGAGAGGAAAUGCCCUGGGUGAAAUCUACCAAUGAUAAGUUGCAAAUGGGGUGCCCCUGGGCCUGAGUGGUUCAGAUGCUGAGAAAGUGGCUUCUGUUGGGUCAUCAGACACAGAGCUUGGAAGCCCUGUCCACCCUGCCUCUGGCUGGAGAAUCGCAUGGGUGCUAGAGUUCCAAGGACCUAAACAGAACCAGUACUUUUUUAGUAUAAUCUAGGUGGCCCCACAGGCUCCCUCGGGACCGUUUUCUGCAGGGAUGUUGGGGAUGGUGUUGGGUGCGUGCUGUUGCUAUCUAGCAUCUCUUUUGGGCAAACCUUCAGAUCUCCCUUCAGUGCUUUACAGAACACACAUGCACAUGGAGACAGAGGUUGCUGUCGAUGUCUUUCUCAAUGGUUCUGCAUCUUUUUUUUUUUUUUUUGACCUUUAUCUCCUAAAUUUCUAGCAUUUAAAAUAUUUGUUUAUGUUUAAGUCUGUGUGUCUGUGUGACUGUGUGUGGGUAUGUGAGAGUAAGAAGUUAGACGAGGGCAUCAGAUCCCCUAAAGCUGGAGUUGCAGGGGUGUGUGAGCUGCCCAGCAUUGGUGCUGGAAAGUGAACUCUGGACCUCCUGGAAGAACACCAAGUGCUUGACAACCACUGAGUCAUCUCUCUAGCAAUCCACAUUAUUUUUGGGGACAGGGUAUCUCGCCAAAGACGGAGUUCACCAAUUUGGCUAAACUGGCUGGCUUGUGCCAGGGAUCUGCCUGUUCCCCACCCCUACCCCAAAACGCUAGCAUCACAGGCACACAUACCUGGCUGUCGGGGGAUCUGAACUCAGGUCUCAUGCUUGCAUGACCAACACUGACUGAAACUUCUCCUGUCCCUGCUCUUUAGAUGUUUACUUGGCAAUUUUUAGUUAUUGAAGAAACCAUGCUCCCCCUAAGCUCAGACCCUGAGAUUUUUUUGAGAGCCCCAACUGCACUGGGUCCCAGAAGUUUUUUGCUGCACACUCAGCUAACCACACCAAGUGCCUCUGACCACAGUGAUGGUGAAAUGGACAGAAGCGGUCCAAAGGGAACAUGUUUAACGUUUAUGUAAGGUAACAGAACAUCUUCCCUCAGGGAUCUGGCACUGAGAGGAUGGAAUGUGGAGAUCUUGGAGGCUGCCCUGCAGGAUGAAGUCAAAGGGCCCUUUUUUGUCAUUCACUACGCCCAAGUUGCAACCACCUGAGCUUGCUGCUCUACCCAAAGACCUGGGUAUAGUUCCCAGCACCACGUGGAAGAAGAGAAUAGACUCUCUUAAACUGUUCUCUGACUCUCUCUCUCUCUCACUCUGCGUUUCUCUAAUAAAUAAAUGCAAAAAAAAAUUAAAAAAAAAAA